GGGGAGGUACCCAAGUGGACAAAGGGGGCAGACUGUAAAUCUGUUGCCGAAGGCUUCAGAGGUUCGAAUCCUCUCCUCCCCA
rnacentral:tRNA from 1 species